GAACUUACCUGGCACAGGGAUACCGUGAUCAUAAAGGGGUUUUCCAAGGCGGGGCUCACCUUUGCACUCCUUUGGCGCGACCCUUGCGAUAACCCCCAAAUGUGGUUAACCGAGUGCGAAAUUUUUUGUUAGGGGGGACUGCGUUGCGCUACCCCCCU